UUUUUCUGAUUAUCAAGUGAAAAUAAGAUUAUUCUUAAAUAAGUUAAGCUUAACUUCAUGUUCUUGACCGGUUUUGCCUUCCUUGUCUAGAAAGUGCUCUUUCUCCUGAGUUGAAACUCGUGACUUAAAAAGUGAAAUAAGAAGUUUGUGGAGAGAGAAGAAAAACUGUUAGAAGCUAAAACUGCUUAAAAUAUGCUUGAAGUUUUAGAAGUGCAAGUGGAAGUCUUCCCUGCUGUUAUAUCACAGUGAAAACACUGAAAUCACUCCUAGCAGACUAAAAGCCAGGAGUAUCCUCCAGUUAAAGAAAAGCUUAAGCAACAAUGGUCAUCUUUUACUUGAGAAAGUUGUCAAAAGCCUUUCCUACCUGAGGAAAUCUGAGUUAUUACCAGUCAUCUUGCAAGUUAUAUCACAACGUAAGACUGGAAAUAAUUUAGUUUAUUUCUGUGUUACAUUUAUAUCUAUGUUACCAGUAAUAUCUUGAAGAAUUGGAAAACUUGCAUGUCAACUUAAAGGUCUUAUUAAAAUCUCUUGAGACAGCCAUUGGGGAAUACCAGGCAAGAAUAGUAACAGCAAACCAGUAGUGAAAUAGUAAUUCUUCCAUGCAUGCCUGAAACAAUGUAAACUGUAAUAUUAAGUAGCUUCCUACUUGUAGCUGUGUAGAAAUAUCAGUUAGACCUUAAAUCUUAUUUGCUACAUCAAGAAAUUUUUCCUUUUAUUGUGAACUGAGCUAAAAUGCCAGCUAAAGGCUUGUACAAAGUUGGAAAAGUAAAAUUGUUUUCCUUGGCAUUUGUAUCCUUUACAGAAAUAAGGAAAAUUUAAUACAUAGAUCAAAUUGUAAGCUUUUAUGUAAAAAAAUUUAUUCAGCAGUACACAGCUUUAUUAAGACACUGUAGAUAUUCUCUGAACACUUCAGAGAAGGAAAGUAAGAACAGUCAUGAAUAUUGUUGUCACAAGACAGGUCCAUUAACUUGACUUAGCAGUAGCCUUUCCACAUAAUACAGUCAGCUCGCUCUAUGGAUGAAGAAAAUUGAUUUUAGUUCAAGCUACCAAGCAGAGCUUAAAAGAAAUAGGUAUGCUUGACUCUAGGAGUGUCAGGCAGUAUGUGCUACAAAGUUCUUUUCAGCUUUUUUCUCCUUCAAAACAAUUUACUUUCUUUAGCCAGAAGUAAGGUGGUAGUUAACAUUCAAAUACAGUAGAGAAUUAACAGUAGUUCUUAUUCAAUACUGGACAUAGAACAACAGUUCUUAACAAGAAUUGAAGCUUAGCUGUAACUUCGUAGGCUUUUGCAAAUGGGAUAAAGUAUGGCAAUUUUCACACUGCAGCGAUCUAGAAGGAAAAGCUUAUACUUCUGUUCUUUUCCGUGCACAUGUACAUGUUUUCUAAGCACUCUUCUACACAUUUAUCUGUGUACAGCAGCUGUCCCCUCCCUACUCCUCCCUCACCCUUUCUCCUUCCAACUUCUGCCAGCCAACUUAGGCUUAACCUCAGAAGAAAUACACAACUAGAAUCGGCACCCGGAACAUUUAUCUCACAUGAAAGUGUAGAACUAUGUGUCGGAAUGCAAGUCUGCUGGUUUAAGCUUACCACUAGGUUAUGAAUGUGCUGUACUGUAUCUUGAUUUAGUAGUUGAACAUCAAUGUUACGGAGGUCUCCACCAGCCAUACAGAGUGUCUAAAAACAUGAAGAGAAACAGUUUUAAAAACCACUCUGAACGUUUAUAUUUGCACUGUCAGCUUCUCUGAAAACCAGGUGCUGUCCUGCUACACUGCAAAACAUUACUGACUGUUCUUUUGCUUAGCAGCUCAUGUAGGGACAGCAAAAGCUUGUAUUAGUAAUAUAAUAAUUAGUAUUGUAUUAGUCAAUUCACAGUUGAACUACUGUAAGUAUUUUACGUUUUUUUUAAGGAAGAGUUUGAUACCUGUCCAUCAGCCAAGGGAAUGUUUACAAAUGGAACCAUUUUAUCUUGGGGUACUGAUUUACUUCUUAGUACCAUGCCUUGAACUCUUUCACUCGUAGGUACAGUUCUUGAGACAGCUUGUUGUAGUCCAGCACUUUUUGAUACUUUUGGCAUGGCUUUGAAAUUUGUGGCACUGCAGUCAGAGGCAGGAGUCUUAACGGCCUCAUUUACACUUGUGGAAGAGUAAACAGACCUAAAAAAAAUUAAAAAUGGAAGUAGUGAUCUGUUUUAAUUGCCUCCUCAUCUACUCCUAUUGUAAAAGUUCCAGCUUAGAUGAAAAUGGAUGGUGAAUUAGACAAUGUUACAAGUGUUCUAUAGCAUAUCUAGUUUAUGUACAAUGAAGAAGCCCUCAAAUAGAUUACGUGAUAUGCUGGUAUCUAAUGUGACAGGAGAAUGAAAGGUUUAGUCACGUUCAUAGACAGGGGACAGCUGCAAUACCUGAUAUGGGGAUAAUUAAGGCAUCAUCCCCAGCUUUGUUUCAGUGCACAGAGAUUACCUUGGGAAGUUGCUUUUCCAGCAGGAUUUCAUUUUGCUAGUUCAGCUCUCAGGACAUUUGUUACGUAUGGCUGACCUGAACUACAUCUUUCUGUCAGCUACAUGUGCUUUUUUGUUAAAGGUUCACAUUACCACAGUACAUCUGAUACAGGUUAUGGAAGGCAUCUUUAUCAGAGCUCUUACAAGGCUCAAAUUUCAGCUACUUUAUUUGAGAAUGAUUCUGUGCAGGAUUUACCAGUUUAAUUAAGUUAAAUAUUUAAGGUCAGGCUUACCUAGAAAGACUGUGCAGUUUGCUAUUUAAACCAGAGCUCAAUGAAACCAGCGACUUUGAUUUGGAUACCUGAGGACAUGCAUUAGACUGCAGUUAACAGAAGUGGCAUUUUAAGGCAAAAUGACAGAUGUAUGAUAGAUACUUCAGGGAAAAAAUACUGUAACAAUUCCCUGUUCAAACAGAACAGCUACACCCCACACUGCUGCUUAUUACUGUUUUACACAUUUUAGAAACUGCAAAUACACAUUUCAAGUUUUUUGAUGUCAAACUGUACUGAACUUCAGUAUUAACAAAUAUAAGCAAUAGCUUUUCUAACAUACACCUUUCCAACACGUAGCCCUCUUGUAAUUAAGACCUGUAACUCCACAUACAAUUUGUGUUUUCAUUGUGUCAUCUUGGCACAUAGUGUUUGGCUGAGGUACUGCAUUGCACAGGGCUGAGGUGGUAGAAUUAAUACACCUGUGCUAUCUGGUUUACAGGUCAAUGUGGAUAAGAUGCAUAAGUCACCCAAACAUAGAAAAACAUCGAUUUUUAACACAAAGUUGAAUACUAAAAAGUGCCUCAAUUAGUUCCUCAAACCAUCAAGGCUUAUUGGCAAAUCAGGAAAGAACAACUACUUCAGUAUGUGCAAUUCUGUGUGAAUGAGUUACACAAAGAGCAGAUAACAUUUUAUUAUGAAGUUCAUUUGCUAUGCAAAUUAGUCUUGCUUAACUGAAACCACGUUGAAUUUGAAAGAAUUUAUUGUUUAAACAGACAGGAGUCUAUUGGCCUCCCUGGUAGUGGACAGAGCAGGGUUCAUAUAGCACGUCAGAACUGAUUAAACUCUUACCUUGUUUAUUGACAAUAAACUUACUUUUUUAGGUAUUUUCUUUGCAGAUGUGUACUUGGCAUCUUCGUAUUCAACAAUUGUAGUUACCUUAACUAGAAAUACAUUUGAAAGAAAAGACGACGACUCACAAAGAGCAUAAACCACUUCAAACUUUGUUUGACAGCCAUUUAUGCACCCACAGUUACGUAUCAGUUCUGCUAUGUGAUGAUCACUCACCUGGGACAGAGUUCAAAGCAAACUGUUUGUCACAGACAAGGUGACACAUCAAAUAGUUAAAAGGCACUAGAUAACCCUUUAACUCCCAGAUAAAACAGAACCACAUUUAAGUAGUAAUGUCACUUUUAUGGCAUAGUUUGGACUAUAAAGAUGAAUGUUAUAUUCUUUACAAAGCUUAGAGGACAGGAAGUCAAAGCAUAACCUGUAACGUUCUGAGCUCUUCUGUUAUACUGUAGAGCACUGAUAAGUCUCGCAAAUCUGUCUCCUCUCACCGUUUUCAGUGAUAAAUCUAAAGGGCAGGAACUCUUAUCUCAUGUUUUGGAGCACUCGAGAAGCAGCACAGCACAUGAUCGUUGUACUUUUGGUCAUGCACUUCCCCAGAAGUUCUCCAAGCUUAACGUUUGCUUUGCAAACAUUCCACUCAAACCACAACAAAGAGAAAAUUUGAGAGCAAAGCUACAUAACAGAGCUGCUUGCCUUUUUUGCUGUUGGUCCUUGUCACUUUUGGGCUUGGUACGUCUUCUAGAGCACAGUCAGUCUGUAAAACAUUCAUCCAGAAAGACAAAGUCAAUAUUUUUUGCUCAACGGAUACACUUUAUCUCACAGAAAGCAAUAAAUCAAAAGGUUGUGGAAGAAAGUGACAGAAAUGGCUGAACAGCAGUUUGUUUUUCAGAAGCAGCUGUACUUCUCCCUGCAGAUGGCCAUAAAUCUUUAGGCAGUGUUCAUAACUGCACCAUGGCUGGCUGUCUAGCCUUUCUGUCUUCUGUUUAAACAGGCAGAUGAACAAAGUCAUUUGUCUGAAAUCUUUACAGCAGAAAGAGAAGUUUCUGGUCUGUAAGCUGUGAUAAAGUUAAAAAUACACACCGCUGCAGCAGCAAGGGCCACUUCCUCCCCUUCUUGCAAAUCUGUGACAUAAGAAAGCAUAGCUUGUUUACAUUCUGUUGCUUGCAUCAUUAUUAUCUGCAGGUUAUCUUACAGAGUAUGAAAAUGAGCAUGUAAUUCAGAGUUGCAGUUGCCUACAUCGUUCACCUUAGCUAGCAAAUCCUUUAGGACGGCCACUGUGCAAAACAAUGGUAAAGAAACAUCUUGGGCCACCUCAGCAUGUUUCAUCUGUAGAAGAAUAGUAAACUUAGCCGAACAGUACACAGCCUGAAUUGAAAGCAGCAAUGCUCCGUGCUAAUGGAAGCCAAUGCUUUUAGGUAGAGGGUUCCAAGGAAGGCACUAAACACACCUUCUGCAAAGGCUUACAGUCAACUCAAGGUCUCAGAGUCUUCAGUUUGAUUUUACGUCCGUGCCCCCUUUGCUCACCAACAUCAAAUGCUGCGUUCACACGCACUUACUAAGCAAGUCCUUCCUUUUCAUCUUUCUGAUAGCAGUCGGCAUCUUCAGCAGUUC
rnacentral:lncRNA from 1 species